UCUGUUAUAAGUGUCAGGCGAGACUGCCCAGCCCCGAGCGCACAAAGUGCGCAGUGGCUAGUCACUAGUGGCUAGUUGCUAGGAGAUGCAUUGAUGCAUUUUCUAGAAACUAGAAACUGGCAACUAGCAACUGCAAAUUCGCUUUGCGAAUUUGGGGCUGGGAGGAAGGCGGGGAUGACGCCAGGUCAGCAUGUCCCUCUGAUGCCCUGGGCCACACACAUAAUACAAUGGGCAUUACAACGGGCAGCGACCCAGCAAUGGUGAGCUAAUCCUUAAAAAGUGCCCUCAGUUCGGAUUGGGGUCUGCAACUCGACCCCAUGAAGCUGGAAUCGCUAGUAAUCGUGGGUCAGCUAAACCACGGUGAAUACGUUCUCAAGUCUUGUACUCACCGCCCGUCAAGUUAAGGGAGCCGGGAGUACCCGAAACGCCGCCUCGCGCGGCACUACGGUAAACUCGGUGACAGGAACUAAGUCGUAACAAGGCACGGGUAGCGGAAGCUGCUCGUGGAUCAAUUCCAAU
rnacentral:rRNA from 1 species